UACGUAGGGUGCAAGCGUUGUCCGGAAUUAUUGGGCGUAAAGAGCUCGUAGGCGGUUUGUCGCGUCUGCUGUGAAAACGCGAGGCUCAACCUCGCGCCUGCAGUGGGUACGGGCAGACUAGAGUGCGGUAGGGGAGAUUGGAAUUCCUGGUGUAGCGGUGGAAUGCGCAGAUAUCAGGAGGAACACCAAUGGCGAAGGCAGAUCUCUGGGCCGUAACUGACGCUGAGGAGCGAAAGCAUGGGGAGCGAACAGGAUUAGAUACCCUGGUAGUCCAUGCCGUAAACGUUGGGAACUAGAUGUAGGGACCAUUCCACGGUUUCUGUGUCGCAGCUAACGCAUUAAGUUCCCCGCCUGGGGAGUACGGUCGCAAGACUAAAACUCAAAGGAAUUGACGGGGGCCCGCACAAGCGGCGGAGCAUGCGGAUUAAUUCGAUGCAACGCGAAGAACCUUACCAAGGCUUGACAUAUACGAGAACGGGCCAGAAAUGGUCAACUCUUUGGACACUCGUAAACAGGUGGUGCAUGGUUGUCGUCAGCUCGUGUCGUGAGAUGUUGGGUUAAGUCCCGCAACGAGCGCAACCCUCGUCCUAUGUUGCCAGCACGUAAUGGUGGGAACUCAUGGGAGACUGCCGGGGUCAACUCGGAGGAAGGUGGGGAUGACGUCAAAUCAUCAUGCCCCUUAUGUCUUGGGCUUCACGCAUGCUACAAUGGCCGGUACAAAGGGCUGCAAUACCGCAAGGUGGAGCGAAUCCCAAAAAGCCGGUCUCAGUUCGGAUUGAGGUCUGCAACUCGACCUCAUGAAGUUGGAGUCGCUAGUAAUCGUGGAUCAGCAACGCCACGGUGAAUACGUUCCCGGGCCUUGUACACACCGCCCGUCAAGUCAUGAAAGUCGGUAACACCCGAAGCCAGUGGCCCAACCGCAAGGGGGGAGCUGUCGAAGGUGGGAUUGGUGAUUAGGACU
rnacentral:rRNA from 1 species